rnacentral:rRNA from 1 species
UACGUAGGGUGCGAGCGUUAAUCGGAAUUACUGGGCGUAAAGCGUGCGCAGGCGGUUCUGAAAGUCAGCUGUGAAAGCCCCGGGCUUAACCUGGGAAUGGCGGUUGAAACUACAGGACUAGAAUCUGGCAGAGGGGGGUGGAAUUCCACGUGUAGCAGUGAAAUGCGUAGAGAUGUGGAGGAGCACCGAUGGCGAAGGCAGCCCCCUGGGCUGAGAUUGACGCUCAGGCACGAAAGCGUGGGGAGCAAACAGG